rnacentral:rRNA from 1 species
AGGGCACCACCAGGAGUGGAGCCUGCGGCUUAAUUUGACUCAACACGGGAAAACUCACCCGGCCCGGACACUGGAAGGAUUGACAGAUUGAGAGCUCUUUCUUGAUUCAGUGGGUGGUGGUGCAUGGCCGUUCUUAGUUGGUGGAGUGAUUUGUCUGCUUAAUUGCGAUAACGAGCGAGACUCUAGCCUACUUUCUAUGUUCGGACGAUCUUGUCGCCCAACGUGUGUGCCUCACGGUGCGCUCGGGGGGUGGCAUCCUAUGAUUGACCGAGACUUCUUAGAGGGAUUGGCGCCUCUUUCCAAGGCGUGCGAAAGCGAGAGCAAUAACAGGUCUGUGAUGCCCUUAGAUGUCCGGGGCCGCACGCGCGCUACACUGAAAGGUGCAGCUAGCGUUUAUACGGUAGGGUGAAAGAUCCUUGCCUUGCCUGUCCCUGAAAAGGUGACGGGAAACUGUUGAACCCCUUCGAGUAAGAUCGUGACGGGGAUAGGGGCUUGCAAUUGUGGCCCUUGAACGAGGAA